AUUGAACGCUGGCGGCAGGCCUAACACAUGCAAGUCGAACGGAGUGGCGGACGGGUGAGUAAUGUCUGGGAAACUGCCUGAUGGAGGGGGAUAACGUCCGGAAACGGUCGCUAAUACCGCAUACUACCAGUUGAGCCUGGGUGGGAUUAGCUAGUUGGGGGGGUAAAGGCCCACCAAGGCGACGAUCCUUAGCUGGUCGGAGAGGAUGAUCAGUCACACUGGAACUGAGACACGGUCCAGACUCCUACGGGAGGCAGCAGUGGGGAAUAUUGGACAAUGGGCGAAAGCCUGAUGCAGCCAUGCCGCGUGUGUGAAGAAGGUCUUCGGAUUGUAAAGCACUUUAAGUUGGGAGGCGUUACCAACAGAAUAAGCACCGGCUAACUCCGUGCCAGCAGCCGCGGUAAUAC
rnacentral:rRNA from 1 species